rnacentral:rRNA from 1 species
AGAGUUUGAUCAUGGCUCAGCCUGAACGCUGGCGGCGUGGUUAAGACAUGCAAGUCGCACGGGCGUAGCAAUACGUCAGUGGCGCACGGGUGAGUAAUGAAUCGCUAACGUGCCCCGGACUCUGGGAUAGCCAUCCGAAAGGGUGGGUAAUACCAGAUGAGACCCCGAUCCCGCAUGGGAUUGUGCUCAAAGGUCCGCCGGUCUGGGAGCGGGCGAUUUCGUAUCAGCUAGUUGGUAGGGUAACGGCCUACCAAGGCGACGACGCGUAGCCGGACUGAGAGGUCGGUCGGCCACAUCGGGACUGAGACACUGCCCGGACUCCUACGGGGGGCUGCAGUAACGAAUCUUCGUCAAUGCACGAAAGUGUGAACGAGCGACGCCGCGUGGAGGAUGAAGUCCUUCGGGAUGUAAACUCCUGUCAGGGGUUACCAAGUUCUGAGGAGCCCCAGAGGAAGAGGCGGCUAACUCUGUGCCAGCAGCCGCGGUAAGACAGAGGCCUCGAGCGUUAGGCGGAAUCACUGGGCUUAAAGCGUGUGUAGGCGGAUCGUUAAGUGUCUUGUGAAAUCCCACGGCUCAACCGUGGAACGGCUGGGCAUACUGGCGAUCUUGAGCAGCCUAGGGGCGACCGGAACAAACGGUGGAGCGGUGAAAUGCGUAGAUAUCGUUUGGAACGCCGAUGGUGAAAACAGGUCGCUGGGGG